CAUACCAGACAGUGAUGCAGCUGGUCAGAACACUCUCAAUGGUGCCUCUGUAGAACAUGGUGAGGAUGGAAGGGGAAAGACUUGCUCACUUCAGACGCCUCACGAAGUGUAGUCUCUGCUGGGCUUUCUUGAUUAGUGACGAGGUGUUAUGCAUCCAACCUGUCUCUUUGUGGUCUCACCUCCAGAUGUUCCUCAGCUCUCUCCUCAGCUCUUUCUGCUCCACACUCACAACUGACUGAACUGAACCUGAGCGACAACAACAUGAAGGACUCAGGAGUGGAUCAGCUGUGUGAGAGGCUGAGGAGUGAAAACUGCAAAUUAGAGAAACUGAAGCUGUCUGGUAAUGAGAUCAGUGAGAGUGAGAAGAUGAUCCUGAGGUCACUACAUUAGGAGCUGAACAGGACUGGACAGCAGGUGAAUAUCAACAUAUGGUGAAGACUGGACAUGCUGAUCAACUGACCCCAGUGACAGCGCCCCCUGUCCACUCUCUCUGAUUUCUUCUCUUUAUUCUUUAAUAGUCUCCUCCGCUUUCCUCCACAUUAAAUAAACUUUCCAUGUCUUCUUCUCA